GGACAGAUGGCCGAGUGGUCUAAGGCGCCGUCUUAAGGAGGUUGCCAGGAUGUUGAGCGGCGUUCAGGCAGUAGCCCGGCGGUCUUCGGGUGUGGGUUUGAAUUCCACUCUGUUCA
rnacentral:tRNA from 2 species